AUCCGACCCGUCACGGGAUUCAGGUUCUUUUCCUCACGAGUCCACGAACAUCCUCGUCCUCGACUCUUGCUUCGCAACACCGGUCCGGCGGGUUCUUCGACAAUGGACAACGAAUCGGAGCCUCGUCGGAACCUCCCUCUGUUCCUGGAAUCCGGUGUUUACCGAUUCGAGGAUUCCAACGCAGUCUUCGUGGACCCCGUUCGCGCUCUGAACCGCUCUCUUACACGGUUCAGCAUCUCUCCUUCCGCGUACUACUCUCGUUUCUUCGAGUCCAAUCCUUGCGACGUCGCUAAUGGCGGUCCGAAUGGGAGGAAGCGGAAGCGCAGGGCGAAGAAGCCUGUCGUCCUCAACGACCGCGAACGAGUCGCCGCUCAGCGUCACCAGGAUGCGAGGCCAUAUUUGGUCAAGGCGCAUGAAUCUUUACUUGGAGCUACUGAGCUAAGGUCUUUCAUGUUGAAGAUGAGGGGGGAACUCGCCAUCACAGAAGACCGAAAAUCGUUGCCGCCUGGUGUUCCGCCAUCAUUUAUUGAACUCGGGAGGCUCUGGCAAGCUCCUUUGUAUGAGAUGACGCUCAACUUCUUGCAAGAAAAGCUGACCGGAGAUGGAGGUCCCUUGAUCAUUCACAGCAAAGAGCAAAAAGUGCUUCCUAUAUUCGAUAACUUAGUUCAUAACGAAACAAAGGAUGAUUCAGUGGCUGAGUUCCUUGGCAGUCAAUAUGUCAUUCCAAGAGAAAGUUGCUUCUACAUGUCCGACCUGCAGCAGAUUCGCAAAAUGAUUCCAGUUGAGUGUGAUGCUCGUUUCCAUCUUAUAGUGAUAGAUCCACCAUGGGAAAAUGGUAGUGCCCAGCAGAAGUUGAGAUAUCCAACUUUGCCUAAUAAAUAUAUGUUAGCCCUACCUGUUCAGCAACUUGCUCAUAGAGAAGGAGCCCUUGUUGCCUUGUGGGUGACUAACAGGGAGAAGCUCCGUAAUUUCAUUGAGAAAGAGCUAUUUCCUGCAUGGGGAGUCAAAUUUUUAGCAACUUUUUACUGGUUAAAGGUGAAAUCUGAUGGAUCUUUGAUUUGUGACUUGGACCUAUUCCAUCACAGGCCAUAUGAAUGCAUUCUCUUGGGCUUCUGCGACAAGGAGGACAUGGAACCUAGAGAUCUGGCAAGAUUAAGUAAUAUUCAAGAUAAAAGAGUAUUGAUUAGUGUGCCUGGGGAGUACUCAAGGAAGCCCCCACUAGAAGAGCUAGUUCUCGAGUACAUUCCAGGGACCAAGCCAGCGCGAUGUGUUGAAUUAUUUGCUAGAGACAUGAGGGCUGGAUGGUUUUCUUGGGGGAAUGAGCCACUGCACUUUCAAGAGCUGAGAUAUUUUCAGAAGAGAGAUGCAGAUGAUGUCUGAUGUGGGCUUUAUUCGCAACGUUUAGCAACCAUGGGGAAAAGAUCAUCUCUCUUGGUUGCUGUAAGUUCUCUCAGUGAAACAGAACUUAAAGGAGUUGGAUGGACCAGAGAGAUGAAAAGAAGCUGGAGGAGUUAGUACGCUGGGGCUGCUACCCGUCAACCGAUCCUGUGUUGCCUGAGCACACAUAGGUCAACAGAUCGAUAAAUUAUGGGAAUAUGCGCAAGGGGUUUCUGCACACUAGAUAUUUUGGUUCAGUCGCAUUAUCAACCCAUCUGGAGCCGAGGUCGUUUCGACAAACGGCUACCAAGCAGCUCAAUGGUGAGCGUUCUAUUAAAGCCUGAUUUUGUAAUCACGACUGUUAAAAGCAACAAAAUUUUGUAGCUCAAGUAGAUUCGCGCUGCUGGAUGAACGUUUCGUUUAGUUGAAUUCGGCGCAUCGACUUGGAUUAGUGCUCGUCAGUGAAGUAGAGGCUGUUCUUCUAGCUUUUAUGUUAGCAGAGGAGCGCCGGCUUCGUAACAUGGUGUUUGACGGCGACUGUACAGUGUUCAUGAGCGCUGUUAUACAUUACUCUUGGGUCAGGCAAAAAGAUGCAUUUGAGUUUCUUGUCAAACAAGGAGCUCAUCUUACUCUAAAAUAGUAUAGAACAAACUUUAAGGUUACUUCAAGUGGUGUCAUAUCGUUCCUAUGAUUUUUGAAAAUUUGAGGA